CAUGGACAUGGGGCUCUCCUUGUAUGAACCACUCAGUAGCAUUGUCCUCCUGACGCAGAUUAUUUAUACCUCCUAAACUCAGUCCAGAAACCAACGGAUAUUAUCUGAAGAAGAAAUGGAAAGAAAGAUGCACAAAACACUUGGCAGUGCUGGGUUAAUGGAUGGAUUUGAUGAUCUUAAAAGUCUUUUCCAACCUAAAUGUUUCUAUGAUUCUAAUAGUGAAGCUGCUGUUCUAGAUCUCUCACAAGCUGAGAUCAGAGUACAGAAGCUACGGAUACAGGACAUUAACUACCCUAUUCAUUUAAAAGUCUGCCACAGAAAGCGCUGUGUCAAGCAUAAAUUACAAAAAGGCAGUGUCAAAUGGAACAGGAGGGACCAGCCAUGCUGGGGGCAUGGCCAGCAGGCACUGUCGCAGGAUGGAUCUUGGUGCCUUCACCCCAAAAGCACUCCAGUGACUGCUCCCUGGCAAUCCGACACAUCUCAGGUGUGGAGCGCCUGCAGAGUCUGAGAGCCAGAAGAGCAGAUGCGUGAUGACCCUCCUGAAACGUGGUGAUGCUCCCUCAAGCUCCUGUUGAUGCUGGGUUGUGGACGAGCAUGCUCUUGCACGCAGAAGGCUGGGCACCACAGCUCUGGUCCCAUGUCCUUCCCCCAAGCCCCUUCUUAAGGCCAGCACAAUGCUUACAGCUCCUCUUCCUGCUGCUGGCUGUCCUGGUCGCUCAGUGACCUACAUCCAGUGGAGAUAACUGGCCUCUCUUCCCAGCAUCUACAAUGGGGCAAAAUAAGCUUUGCGUGCAGAGCUUCCAGGCACGCCAGGCUGUUUAUUGUGGGCUGUCUUGGUGACUGAUGUGUAGUAGUUGAAGAAUGAGUUUCCCUCUGGGAACGAGCUUAGUCAGCCAUACCCCUGUGUUCCCCAUGCCUUUCUAGGGUAAAACCGUGAAUAAGAGCAGAUGAGCAUAGGUGCAACCUCAAUGAAAUGGAAAGAUGCUGGUAGAUAAAGGAAGCAAUGAAGGGGUUAAGCCCGUGGCAGUGUAUGUUUGAUCAGCAAAGAUUAAUUGUGCAGGUUUUAGCUGGCUUAAUUUCUUCUUGAUUUAAAUUUAAAAGAAAUUUAAUUUCUUCUUGAUAAAACAAAAAACCAAAACAAGCAAACAAACAAAAAAACCCAACCAACCAACCAAACCCCAAACCAACCACCUUUGGCCAGUCAGGCCAUUUUAAAUGACCGGCUUCUCCAGAGGUGUAAAUCAGGACGUGCCGAUCACUGCAGAGCUCCGGGGAGGUCCCUGGGAAGUGGCCGCCCACCGCCGCUGGUGCGCAGGACCCCAUCCCGCAGCCCCGGGGAGCCGGGGGAUGCUGCUGAGGGCGGCCAGCACACGCACGCCUCCCAAAGAUGGAGCACGCUGGCUGCAGGGGUUUCAAUGCCACGUGGAUGUCAGUCCCUGGAGCAGCCCCGGCAUGAGGCCAUCCAGCCCCAGGGAAAGCGUGGGUCUGAUUCCCACGUGGGUAUCCGCACGGCUAAGGUGGAACUGCACGCCGAAGGGCCGGGCUUUUUGUAUCCUGAUGGAUGUUUCCUAAGAAAAGCUUCUUCAGGAAGCCAGUUGGCAGGGCCUACAAUCUUAUUCAAAUACAAGUAGAUUAACAUGAUUUCUGAUGUUCUGCAGUAAUUUCCUUGAGUUACGUUGUGUCAUAGAUAAUUAUCUCGCCAUCUUCAAACACGUAACAGCAAUGUAUAUCAGAUGAUGCUGACACACUAGGUAAGUACGGGUUUAGUUAGUUGUAAAGUGUCUCUAUUAUCAGUGUUAAGAUUCAAUGAUGCACACAAAUUUGCCUUUCAGUUUAGAUUUUAAAAAAUUUCCAAGUGAUACAAGCCUCGAAAUAAUUUUGAUGGCAAAAAUCCACAUUUGUGAUGUUUAUUCCAUUCCCUUUCUAAAAAGAGAAAACCAACUUGGAUAUACUAUUUCUGGCUGGUUAGAUCACUUCCCAAAAGAAGAUUAAAGCAAAAUUUCAGCAUGAGAAAUGUUUACUUCCAUACUGUUGAACUUUCCAGGGAUAAGUUUGUUUUCUUAUAUUCCAGAGAAAAAGGACCCCGGUGGUUUAUGUAGUCAGAUAACUCUGGUACCAAAAAAUCAACAUCACAGAAUUAAAAUGCUGCUUUGCUUUUGUCAGUGAGAAAAAGCUGUAACAAAAAAAAAAUCUCUGAUAGACUCAUUAUAUUUAAAAAAAAUUGUACAUCAGAAUACUUUUUUACAAAAAAAAAGUGGCAAGCAGCAAUAAAGCUAGUGUCAGUAUCUGAAACAAAACUAGAAAAUCGAAGCAUGACUUUUUGUUGGUUUGAAAGUAAAUGCUAGUUAAGAUUACCUGAACAGACUCCCAGUAAGCCAGGUUCUGAAGGCUAAGGUCACGGCUGACCUGCAUAGACCCUCACGCCCAGUUCCAGUCCAAGGGCCAAUAAAUGCACCUUAGGUCUGCCCCAUUCUGGGGAAAAAAAUACUAGAACGAUAGAAUACUUUGGGCAAAUGGCAUAUAAUACAGAUUUCACCUCCAUUCUAAACAAAAACAGGAGAAUUUAUAUGAUUUCCCAGAUCCUGAUAAAUGCAGCCUCCAGGAACGGGAAAACGUUCUUCUGCUUUUGCCUGAAAAUAUGUCAUCCACGAAGGGACAGGGAAUGUUUCUGGUUUCUUGACUGGUAUGUCUGCAGCCUGACUUGUGAACUAAUGGAGACACAGCGUAACAAAGCUCCAUCUCACCCAUCUGCUGAAGCGCUCUUUUGCUACGUGUACCGAACAGGAAGAGGAAGCAGCAAUUGGCUCUAUCAGGACAGCAUCUCCUGACAGCGUGGCUAGUCUGUUUACUACAGGUGGUUGACCAUGCAAGGAUGCCAACCUGCCAGACGCCGGGAAUCCCUGCCUGCCAGCGAACACGGCAAGACCUGGAGGUGUUGGGCACCUGGUCGAGCCAAUCCCAUAAUGUCUACAGAAAGGAGCCCGGCGAGGAGACCCUUCCCACAGCAAAACUGGCUCUUCUGCCAGCACAUCUCAAGAAGCAGCAGCCUCCUCGCUCCCACGCCAACCUCAGCCUGAGCUUGCAACUGGGAAUUUUUCUGUUGUUGAGAGUAAAAUGCAGAAAAGAAGGAACAGGGAAAGGAAAAAAAAAAAAAAAAAAAGAAGAAGAAGAAGGAGUAACAAAACUGAGUAGCAAAAAGCAGAAGGAAUGGUAAAAAAGAGGCACCAGAAAAAGCAGAAGGAAUGGCAGAAUGGAGUAAUAUCAACAUGUGCACAACUAAAGCGAACUGCAGAACCAGUUCACAGUGUAGGAGGCUGUUGGCAGUGAAACAGGUUGCUCAGUCUUGGAGGUCCUUGGACCUCCAUCCUUGAAAGUCCUCAAGACCAGGUGGGAUAAAGCCCUGAGCAGCCUGGCCAAGCCUGGUCGGAGCAGUAGCUGGACUAGAGAUCUCCUGAGGUCCCCUCCAACCUGAAUUAUCCUGUGAUCCUACGAUUUGAGUGUUCCUAAUACGCUGCCAAGUAGCUCUGGGGAGACAGUCAGGCUUUUCUGCACAUGGGUUAGGCAAGGAGGGCAGGGAAGGCUCGCAGGAGGGCACACGGAUGAAGUAUGCUUCUCACACACCGUCACUGUCACAGAGAUGGUGCAAAAGAGGAACUGCCACCUCCGCAGCACCACGGCUCUGUAUGAAAUGCAAGCCUGCACAUUCUGGAUAUGGAAAGGCGCCAAGGACCCACAACAAAAGAGCAAACUGCUGUGUUUGACAGCAGAAAAACCCUCUAGGACACACCAGGGUGGAAAAGAUGCAAACAAAAAAGAAAGAAAAGACCUGGCAUCACAGCAGGAGGAAGCAGGCACAGCUGCAAUGCUGGGUGCUGCAAAGCCUCCGGGUGGGUCUCUAAUGGAUCUAUAAUUCCAGCGCCACAUGGACAGGGGCUUUGUCAUUCUAUUCAGCCCAUCUCUAAGCCUUCGCUCUCCCCACUCGUUGUAAAACAGCAAAGAAGGGAGAAUAAAAGCAUGGUGAAUAGCAGCUUGCAGUGGCUGAGCACAGGGACACUGUUAUGAUUUAACCCCAGCUGGCAACUAAGCCCUGCGCUGCUGCUUGCUCAUCCCCCUCCACCCUCACCACCCACCACCCCACCACCCCCAGUGGGAUGGUAAAAGUGGGAAGGGUGAAAGUGAGAAAACUCGUGGGUUGAGAUAAAGACAGUUUAAUAGGCAAAGCAAAAUAUGGAAUUCAUUCACCACUUCCCAUCGCAGGCAGGUUUUGAGCCACCUCCAGGAAAGCUGGGCUCCAUCACACAUAAUGGGGACUUGGGAAGACAAACACCAUAGCUCCAGAUGUCCCCCUGCUUCCUUUUCUGCCCCCAGUUUAUAUACUGAGCACGAUGCUCUAUGGUACGGAAUAUCCCUGUGGCUAGCUGGGUCAGCUGUCCUGGCUCCGCUCCCUCCCGGCUCCUUGUGCACCUGCUCACUGGCAGAGCACGGGAAACUUGAAAAGUCCUUGCUUUAAAGCAAGCACUACUUAGCAACUAAAACAUCAGUGUGUUAUCAACAUUAUUCUCAUACCAAAUCCAAAACGCAGUAUUGUAGCCACCACUGAGAAGAACAUUAACUCUACCCCAGCUGAAACCAGGACAGACACUUAAAUAAAACACACAAGUACAAGCCCAGAACGGCACAGCCCGGGCAGAACGUGCCGUACCAGGCUCCAAAGCAACCAUCACCCACCCACCUCCCACGAGAGCAGGCUUCAGCGUGCUGUUGAUCUUACUCGGGGUUCAUUUCUAGAGAGCAACGAGGAGUUUGACGUGGUGGCAUUUAUUCCAUUGUAACCCAUUUAUUUUAAAGUUUCAAAAUUGUAAAAUGUGUGAUUAGUGCUUUCCAGCAGCCUUCCCACAGGGGCUGCUCAGCUCUGCACCCUUCCAGCUCUCCCCUAGCUCAGCAGAUGCCAUCGCCCCACCUCAGCCCCAGCAUGGGGCCACGCUCAGCCCUUUGCACCCACAUGGCUGUGGGCUGCCCUUGCUCGCCCCAGUCCCUGCCCCACGCUGAGGCGCUGACACUCACCCAGCUGCCACUGACCUGGGAUCUGCUCCCUGUUAAUGAGAAAAGGAGGGUUUGGGAAGCCCCAGCACCUGGAUCUCACUGCCAAACCAUCUGUAGGG